rnacentral:rRNA from 1 species
ACGAACGCUGGCGGCGUGGAUAAGACAUGCAAGUCGAACGAGAGAAUUGCUAGCUUGCUAAUAAUUCUCUAGUGGCGCACGGGUGAGUAACACGUGAGUAACCUGCCCCCGAGAGCGGGAUAGCCCUGGGAAACUGGGAUUAAUACCGCAUAGUAUCGAAAGAUUAAAGCAGCAAUGCGCUUGGGGAUGGGCUCGCGGCCUAUUAGUUAGUUGGUGAGGUAACGGCUCACCAAGGCGAUGACGGGUAGCCGGUCUGAGAGGAUGUCCGGCCACACUGGAACUGAGACACGGUCCAGACACCUACGGGUGGCAGCAGUCGAGAAUCAUUCACAAUGGGGGAAACCCUGAUGGUGCGACGCCGCGUGGGGGAAUGAAGGUCUUCGGAUUGUAAACCCCUGUCAUGUGGGAGCAAAUUAAAAAGAUAGUACCACAAGAGGAAGAGACGGCUAACUCUGUGCCAGCAGCCGCGGUAAUACAGAGGUCUCAAGCGUUGUUCGGAAUCACUGGGCGUAAAGCGUGCGUAGGCUGUUUCGUAAGUCGUGUGUGAAAGGCGCGGGCUCAACCCGCGGACGGCACAUGAUACUGCGAGACUAGAGUAAUGGAGGGGGAACCGGAAUUCUCGGUGUAGCAGUGAAGUGCGUAGAUAUCGAGAGGAACACUCGUGGCGAAGGCGGGUUCCUGGACAUUAACUGACGCUGAGGCACGAAGGCCAGGGGAGCGAAAGGGAUUAGAUACCCCUGUAGUCCUGGCAGUAAACGGUGCACGCUUGGUGUGCGGGGAAUCGACCCCCUGCGUGCCGGAGCUAACGCGUUAAGCGUGCCGCCUGGGGAGUACGGUCGCAAGAUUAAAACUCAAAGAAAUUGACGGGGACCCGCACAAGCGGUGGAGUAUGUGGCUUAAUUCGAUGCAACGCGAAGAACCUUACCUGGGCUUGACAUGUAAUGAACAACAUGUGAAAGCAUGCGACUCUUCGGAGGCGUUACACAGGUGCUGCAUGGCCGUCGUCAGCUCGUGUCGUGAGAUGUUUGGUUAAGUCCAGCAACGAGCGCAACCCCUGUUGCCAGUUACCAGCACGUGAAGGUGGGGACUCUGGCGAGACUGCCCAGAUCAACUGGGAGGAAGGUGGGGACGACGUCAGGUCAGUAUGGCCCUUAUGCCCAGGGCUGCACACGUACUACAAUGCCCAGUACAGAGGGGGCCGAAGCCGCGAGGCGGAGGAAAUCCUGAAAACUGGGCCCAGUUCGGACUGUAGGCUGCAACCCGCCUACACGAAGCCGGAAUCGCUAGUAAUGGCGCAUCAGCUACGGCGCCGUGAAUACGUUCCCGGGUCUUGUACACACCGCCCGUCACAUCAUGGAAGCCGGUCGCACCCGAAGUAUCUGAAGCCAACCGCAAGGAGGCAGGGUCCUAAGGUGAGACUGGUAACUGGGAUG